rnacentral:rRNA from 1 species
GGUGUGAAUUGCAGAAUCCCGUGAACCAUCGAGUCUUUGAACGCAAGUUGCGCCCGAAGCCACUAGGCUGAGGGCACGUCUGCCUGGGUGUCA